GGGAGCUAUCUGCAGUAUUCCAAAUCCGUUUAAAAAACCGCCGGGCGGCGGUGGAAGCCCUGCAAAGUUGGCCAAUACUUGAAAUUACUGGUGUGCGGCAUCUCCCCCCAAGUGUCCCACCAGUGAAGGUACCGAGGAUCGCGUACCUUAUUGUUACACUCCUAAUGGUCUUGACCCGGAUUCAUCCCCCAGAACCCGG
rnacentral:sRNA from 1 species